AAUAGUGAAUGAGAUAAAGAACAUGUUUUCGGCUGUGGCUUUCAUGUGGGACGUUUUUAUUCCUCAAAAUCCUGAGACAGGGUUGUCGAAGGGAUUUGCUUUUGUUAAAUUCACAUCAAAGCAGGAUGCAGAAAAUAUUAUCAAGAUAU